AUUGAACGCUGGCGGCAGGCCUAACACAUGCAAGUCGAACGAGUGGCGGACGGGUGAGUAAUGUCUGGGAACCUGCCUGAUGGAGGGGGAUAACUACCGGAAACUGUAGCUAAUACCGCAUAGCCGCGUAUGUGCCCAGGUGGGAUUGGCUAGUAGGUGGGGUAAAGGCUCACCUAGGCGACGAUCCGUAGCUGGUCUGAGAGGAUGACCAGACAAACUGGAACUGAGACACGGUCCAGACUCCUACGGGAGGCAGCAGUGGGGAAUAUUGCACAAUGGGCGCAAGCCUGAUGCAGCCAUGCCGCGUGUAUGAAGAAGGCCUUCGGGUUGUAAAGUACUUUCAGCGGGGAGGCGUUACCCGCAGAAGAAGCACCGGCUAACUCCGUGCCAGCAGCCGCGGUAAUUC
rnacentral:rRNA from 1 species